AUGGCCUCCACCUCCUACUGCGCCACUCCAUCUCCGUCCCUACGAUGCUCUGCCGCCUUCUUCCCCAGCUUCGCUUCUCCGCCUCCCGUCCUCCGCUUCGCCGUUCCUCCGCUCCCCCCCCGCCGUCUCGCCAUAUCCCCACCCAGAGUUCCAAUUCCAGCGGUGGCGUCAGCGCUGGAGUCCCUAGUGCAGGAGUCCGACGACGAGGAUGACGAGGACGACGAGUCUGGGCUGUUCAAGGACGAGGCGUGGGCGUCGGCCGACGAGAGGGACGCGGUGCGGUCGCCGGAGCUGGUGGUGCCCGAGCUGGAGGAGCUGCCCGAGCAGUGGCGCCGCUCCAGGAUUGCCUGGCUCUGCAAGGAGCUCCCCGCCUACAAGCACUCCACCUUCACCCGCAUCCUCAACGCCCAGCGCAAGUGGCUCACCCAGGAGGACGCCACCUACGUCGCUGUACACUGCCUCCGCAUCCGCGACAACGACGCCGCCUUCCGGGUGUUUAGCUGGAUGGAGCGGCAGCACUGGUACCGCUUCAACUUUGCGCUUGCCACAAGGGUGGCGGAUUUUCUCGGCAGGGAAGGCAAGGUUGAGAAAUGCCGGGAGAUGUUUGAGGCAAUGGUCAAGCAGGGCCGUGUGCCUGCCGAGUCCACCUUCCACAUACUGACUGUUGCGUACCUCAGUACGCCCAGGGGACGGUGCCUCGAGCAUGCUUGCACUAUCUACAACCAGAUGAUACAGAUGGGCGGCUACAAGCCACGCCUCAGCCUUCACAACUCAUUGUUCCGCGCACUUGUGAGUAAGACAGGAGGAACUGCAAAACACAACCUCAGGCAGGCUGAGUUCAUCUACCACAAUCUGGUCACCACCAAUCUUGAGGUGCACAAGGAGGUCUAUGCUGGGCUCAUCUGGCUUCACAGCUACCAAGAUGUCAUUGAUAGAGACAGGAUCAUAGCUCUUAGGAAGGAAAUGAAGCAGGCUGGUUUUGAUGAGAGUAUUGAUGUGCUGGUGUCAGUCAUGCGGGCCUUCUCCAAAGAAGGGAGGGUUCAGGAAACAGAGGCAACAUGGCAUGAAAUUCUCCAGAGGGGUUCAGAACUUCCUGCUCAGGCCUAUGUCUGCCGAAUGGAGGUUUAUGCUCGAACUGGUGAGUCUAUGAAAUCCCUGGAUAUAUUCAGAGAAAUGAAGAGGCAAAGUAUACCCCCAAACGUUGCAACUUAUCAUAAGAUAAUUGAGAUAAUAGCAAAUGCUGAGGAGAUAGAUGUUGCGGAACAACUUAUGGAUGAAUUUUCUGAGAGUCAUAUGAAGCAUCUGAUGCCAGCAUUUCUUGCCCUGAUGUACAUGUAUUUGGAUCUUGAUAUGCAUGAGAAAUUAGAACUAACAUUCUCGAAAUGCCUUGCUAGGUGCCGUCCAAAUAGAAUCUUGUACACCAUCUAUCUAGAAUCACUGAUAAGGGCUGGAAAUGUCGAGAAAGCUGAGGAGGUCUUCGAUGAAAUGCACAAAAAAGGGACGAUAGGUACUAACGCAAAAUCUUGCAACAUCAUGCUAAGAGGUUAUAUUUCUGCAGAAGACUAUCAGAAAGCUGAAAAGGUUUAUGAUAUGAUGUGUAAAAAGAAGUAUGAUGUACAAGAGGAUUUGUUGGAAGAACUUCAGACUGGUCUCCGUCUUGGUAAGAAAGUCGCUGUUAAGCCAAAACCCGUGAGCAUGAAGUUGGAUCAAGAGCAGCGUGAGAUUUUAAUUGGUUUGCUUCUGGGAGGCACACAGAUUGAAUCUCAUGCACAGAGAGGGGUCCAUAUUGUCCAUUUUAAGUUCCAGGAAGAUUCUGAUACCCAUUCGGUCUUAAGGGUGCACAUUCAUGAGCGUUUCUUUGAAUGGCUGACUUCAGCAAGCAGAUCAUUUGAGGAUGAGAGCAAGAUACCUUAUGAGUUUUCAACCAUACCUCAUUUACAUUUUGGUUUCUUUGCUGAUCAGUUCUUUCUAAAAGGUCAGCCUGUUCUCCCAAAGCUUAUCCACAGGUGGUUAUCUCCACGUGUUCUAGCAUAUUGGUUCAUGUUUGGAGGCUUCAAACUCUCAUCAGGUGAUAUCGUUCUCAAGGUCAGUGGUGGGAACAGUGAGGGUGUUGAAAGAAUUGUAAACUCCUUGCAUGCACAGUCGUUACCUAGUAAAGUGAAGAGGAAAGGGCAAUUCUUCUGGAUAGGUUUUCAGGGGAGCAAUGCCGAUUCUUUCUGGAAAGUUAUAGAACCUUAUGUAUUGGACGGUUUCUUGGGUUUGACAACACAGGAAAGCGGCACCGCAGGUUCUGGUGAUGACCAAGAAACUGAUACUGAUUCUGAUGAUGAUGCUCAUAAGGAUGGAAGUGAAGAGUGA
rnacentral:rRNA from 1 species